CCUGACUCACGCUGGCUCUCUGGUACAAACCCAGUGUGCCUAUCAUCAGUGUGAGGACUUCAGAGCAUGCUUGCAGUGUGUGGUGCGUGAGGAAAAGGUUGGAAGCCAAGGCUGACUUCUGGAUGCCAAGUUAGGAAUAAUGGCUGGAGUAAAAACUCAGGGAGGGGUCUGUCCACGCAGCUGCAAUAAAAGAUUCAGUCAGAGGAGCUGCAGUCAUCAGUAGAUAUAAUUUUGUUUUUCAUGUUCUCUGGUCUAACCAGGCCCCACUGUCUACACAGAAAUCUGUUUCUUUACAGGUGUAGAACACGUCUUCAUCAAACAGUCUUUGGGCACAUGUUCAAAAAGAGCCUGCUGAGAUCAAGCCCAUGAGCUGCCCCGGGCAGGGACAUUUCUUCCAGUGCCUCCUGACAGCGAUGCCUGUUCUCUCCAAGUUCAUCAGUCCAGGAACUCGCUCUGUGUGUGUGGAUGCAAUGGGGUGCAGUACCAGCUGAGAGGGAGCUGCCAAGAAAGCCACAGGAGCAGAAUGCAUAUGGAAAUGAAGCAAGAUAUGACAAAUCUGCCACUAGGGCAGCCUCAGCUCACCCAAACCGUGCUGAGCAGAGGCAUGGCUGAAGGACUUUUUCAUGUGUUGUCACAUCCUCAGAGCUUGUUUUACAGAGAACAGACAUGCUUUUUAUUAUCCCGGAAGCCACCUACUGCACAUUAACAAUUUUCAAACCAGCCUUACUUGGAUUCAACAGAAUUAGGGAUAGGGAAAUCCUAUUAGGUCCCAUUAUCAUUUGAGCUACCAGAGCAGUAUUGUUCUGUAUGUUAAUUUGCCAAGCACUCUGUUCAUGUUUAAAUAACUCAGUGAAAAAAACAUAUAAUUAUUGU